UAAAACAGUAACAGCAUCAAGAAGACCCAGCCUCCAAUCCCCAUCUCCAAGAUCGACAACAGGCUGGAACAGUACACUCAUGCCAUAGAGACGUCCUCUAAGGAAGCCAAGGCWGCCAGGCAGCAGGCUCUGACGGACCUGCCCAGCCCCAAUGAGCCUGUGGCCUCCAAGAAGAACCUGUUUGAGGCCGGAGAAGCUUGGAGCCAGACGCCCAGGGAAACACCUUCCAAGGAUACAGAGGGUCUGAACGUAGGCGUGGCCGACCUCAUCCACCAAUGGGUGAAAGGGAACCCAGACGGAAGCUGCAAAAGCCUCUCCAAGCCAGCAGAGGUGAAGGCCGGUGAUGUUCUGAGCAAGAAGAACCUCUGGGAGAACCUAGGAGACUCUUCCCCGUCUGGGAGAGCAGGGAAGGUAG